rnacentral:rRNA from 1 species
GACGAACGCUGGCGGCGUGCUUAACACAUGCAAGUCGAACGGAAAGGCCCUGCUUUUGUGGGGUGCUCGAGUGGCGAACGGGUGAGUAACACGUGAGUAACCUGCCCUUGACUUUGGGAUAACUUCAGGAAACUGGGGCUAAUACCGGAUAGGAGCUCCUGCUGCAUGGUGGGGGUUGGAAAGUUUCGGCGGUUGGGGAUGGACUCGCGGCUUAUCAGCUUGUUGGUGGGGUAGUGGCUUACCAAGGCUUUGACGGGUAGCCGGCCUGAGAGGGUGAGCGGACACAUUGGGACUGAGAUACGGCACAGCCUCGUACGGGAGGCAGCAGUGGGGAAUAUUGCACAAUGGGCGGAGGCCUGAUGCAGCAACGCCGCGUGCGGGAUGACGGGAUUCGGGUUGUAAACCGCUUUCGCCUGUGACGAAGCGUGAGUGACGGUAAUGGGUAAAGAAGCACCGGCUAACUACGUG